rnacentral:rRNA from 1 species
UCGAUGAAGAACGCAGCGAAAUGCGAUAAGUAAUGUGAAUUGCAGAAUUCAGUGAAUCAUCGAAUCUUUGAACGCACCUUGCGCUCCUUGGUAUUCCGAGGAGCAUGCCUGUUUGAGUGUCAUUAAUAUUAUAUAUCGAACCCUUCUUUUUUGAGUGGUUUGGAUGUGGGGUUGCUGGCCUCUUGAAGGGGUCAGCUUCCCUGAAAUGCAUUAGCAGAACAGCCUGUUCGUUCCAUUGGUGUGAUAACUAUCUACGCUAUUGAAUGAUGAAGGCAAGUUCAGCUUUCUAACCGUCUUUGGACAAUUUAUCAUCUAUAUGUGACCUCAAAUCAGGUAGGACUACCCGCUGAACUUAA